rnacentral:rRNA from 1 species
AACGCUGGCGGCGUGCCUCAGACAUGCAAGUCGAACGAGAAAGUCCCCUUCGGGGGAUAAGUAAAGUGGCGCACGGGUGAGUAACACGUAGGUAAUCUAUCUUCGGGUGGGGAAUAACCCAGGGAAACUUGGGCUAACACCGCAUAAUGUAGCGGCACCACAUGGUGACAGUUGUUAAAGCGGGGGAUUUUAGGACCUCUCGCCUGAAGAGGAGCCUGCGGCGGAUUAGCUAGUUGGUGAGGUAACGGCUCACCAAGGUAACGAUCCGUAGCCGGCCUGAGAGGGCGGUCGGCCACACUUACACUGACAUACGGGUCAGACUCCUACGGGAGGCAGCAGUCGGGAAUUUUGGGCAAUGGGCGAAAGCCUGACCCAGCAACGCCGCGUGAAGGAUGAAAUUCCUCGGGAUGUAAACUUCGCAAGAAUGGGAAGAAUUAGUAGGGGUUAAUUCCCCCUAUGAUGACGGUACCAUUUGUAAGCUCCGGCUAACUCCGUGCCAUCAGCCGCGGUAAUAAGGGCGU